AUUUCUGGUCUAAGUAUAAAGAGGGUAUGGUUGGCAAAUCCGCCAUAUAUUAACCUUGAAAUAUGAUGGGUAGGGGCAACCCGAAUUAUCGGAACGCUUUGCUUCCAAGAAAAGCUUCUAAAGAUAUGAUUAUGGUACUCGUACCAAGAACGAACACACGUGGUCGGGGAGAAUAUCCUCAGGCCAGCGAGAAAACUAUAGUUAAGGAACUCGGCAAAUUAGCCCCGUAAGUUCGCGAGAAGGGGUGCCUAGGGCAACCUAGGCCGCAGUGAAGAGACACCAGCAACUGUUUAUCAAAAACACAGCUCUAUGCAAAGGCGUAAGCCGAAGUAUAUGGGGCGACGCCUGCCCAGUGCUCCAAGGUUAAGAGGAGGGGUUAGCCAGUAGUAAGAUACUGGUGAAGCUCUGAAUUGAAGCCCGAGUGAACGGCGGCCGUAACUAUAACGGUCCAAAGGUAGCGAAACUCCUUGUCAGGUAAGCUCUGACCCGCAUGAAAGGCGCAAUGACUGGUGUACUGUCUCAACUAUAGACUCGGUGAAAUCUUAGUACCGGUGAAGAUGCCGGUUACCCGCAACUAGACGGAAAGACCCCGUGGAGCUUUACUGCAACUUGAUAUUGGGUUUUUCUCUUAUUUGUACAGGAUAGGUGGGAGACUGUGAAUCCCAGGCGUCAGCCUGGGAGGAGUCGUUGGUGGGAUACCACCCUAAUGAGCGGAAAAUUCUAACUUAUUGGUUUACAGCCAAAAGGACAGUGUCUGGUGGGUAGUUUGACUGGGGCGGUCGCCUCCUAAAAAGUAACGGAGGUGUUCAUAAGGUAUCCUCAGUAGGUAUAGAAAUCCUACGUAGAGCGUAAAGGUAUAAGGAUGCUUAACUGUGAGACAGACAAGUCGAACAGAUACGAAAGUAGGACUUAGUGAUCCGGCGGUUACCUAGUGGUAGGGCCGUCGCUAAACGGACAAAAGUUACCCCGGGGAUAACAGGCUAAUACUUCCCAAGAGAUCGCAUCGACGGAAGUGUUUGGCACCUCGAUGUCGACUCAUCGCAUCCUGGAGGUGAAGAAGCUUCCAAGGGUUGGGCUGUUCGCCCAUUAAAGCGGUACGUGAGUUGGGUUUAGAACCUCGUGAGACAGUUUGGUCCCUAUCUGUUGUGGGCGCAGGAAAUUUGCGAAGAUCUUCUCCUAGUACGCAAGGACCGGAGUGGACUGACCAAUGAUGUACCAGUUGUCAUGUCAAUGGCACGGCUGGAUAGUUACGUCAGGAAUAGAUAAGCACUGAAAGCAUCUUAAGUGCGAAGCUAACUUCAAGAUAAGAUUUCCCACCCGUGAGGGGUAAGAUACCUUCAAUACCAGGAGGUUGAUAGGUGGAAAAUGUAAGUAUAGUAAUAUAUUUAGUUAAUCCAUACUAAUUUAUCGAGGACUUAAAAA
rnacentral:rRNA from 1 species